CUAUGUGUUGUUGGGUAGGGGAGCGUUCUGUAAGCCUGCGAAGGUGGCCUGUGAGGGUUGCUGGAGGUAUCAGAAGUGCGAAUGCUGACAUAAGUAACGAUAAAGCGGGUGAAAAGCCCGCUCGCCGGAAGACCAAGGGUUCCUGUCCAACGUUAAUCGGGGCAGGGUGAGUCGACCCCUAAGGCGAGGCCGAAAGGCGUAGUCGAUGGGAAACAGGUUAAUAUUCCUGUACUUGGUGUUACUGCGAAGGGGGGACGGAGAAGGCUAUGUUGGCCGGGCGACGGUUGUCCCGGUUUAAGCGUGUAGGCUGGUUUUCCAGGCAAAUCCGGAAAAUCAAGGCUGAGGCGUGAUGACGAGGCACUACGGUGCUGAAGCAACAAAUGCCCUGCUUCCAGGAAAAGCCUCUAAGCAUCAGGUAACAUCAAAUCGUACCCCAAACCGACACAGGUGGUCAGGUAGAGAAUACCAAGGCGCUUGAGAGAACUCGGGUGAAGGAACUAGGCAAAAUGGUGCCGUAACUUCGGGAGAAGGCACGCUGAUAUGUAGGUGAAGUCCCUCGCGGAUGGAGCUGAAAUCAGUCGAAGAUACCAGCUGGCUGCAACUGUUUAUUAAAAACACAGCACUGUGCAAACACGAAAGUGGACGUAUACGGUGUGACGCCUGCCCGGUGCCGGAAGGUUAAUUGAUGGGGUUAGCGGUAACGCGAAGCUCUUGAUCGAAGCCCCGGUAAACGGCGGCCGUAACUAUAACGGUCCUAAGGUAGCGAAAUUCCUUGUCGGGUAAGUUCCGACCUGCACGAAUGGCGUAAUGAUGGCCAGGCUGUCUCCACCCGAGACUCAGUGAAAUUGAACUCGCUGUGAAGAUGCAGUGUACCCGCGGCAAGACGGAAAGACCCCGUGAACCUUUACUAUAGCUUGACACUGAACAUUGAGCCUUGAUGUGUAGGAUAGGUGGGAGGCUUUGAAGUGUGGACGCCAGUCUGCAUGGAGCCGACCUUGAAAUACCACCCUUUAAUGUUUGAUGUUCUAACGUGGACCCGUGAUCCGGGUUGCGGACAGUGUCUGGUGGGUAGUUUGACUGGGGCGGUCUCCUCCUAAAGAGUAACGGAGGAGCACGAAGGUUGGCUAAUCCUGGUCGGACAUCAGGAGGUUAGUGCAAUGGCAUAAGCCAGCUUGACUGCGAGCGUGACGGCGCGAGCAGGUGCGAAAGCAGGUCAUAGUGAUCCGGUGGUUCUGAAUGGAAGGGCCAUCGCUCAACGGAUAAAAGGUACUCCGGGGAUAACAGGCUGAUACCGCCCAAGAGUUCAUAUCGACGGCGGUGUUUGGCACCUCGAUGUCGGCUCAUCACAUCCUGGGGCUGAAGUAGGUCCCAAGGGUAUGGCUGUUCGCCAUUUAAAGUGGUACGCGAGCUGGGUUUAGAACGUCGUGAGACAGUUCGGUCCCUAUCUGCCGUGGGCGCUGGAGAACUGAGGGGGGCUGCUCCUAGUACGAGAGGACCGGAGUGGACGCAUCACUGGUGUUCGGGUUGUCAUGCCAAUGGCACUGCCCGGUAGCUAAAUGCGGAAGAGAUAAGUGCUGAAAGCAUCUAAGCACGAAACUUGCCCC
rnacentral:rRNA from 1 species